rnacentral:rRNA from 1 species
CGUACGCUUCUUUUUCCACCGGAGCUUGCUCCACCGGAAAAAGAAGAGUGGCGAACGGGUGAGUAACACGUGGGUAACCUGCCCAUCAGAAGGGGAUAACACUUGGAAACAGGUGCUAAUACCGUAUAACAAUCGAAACCGCAUGGUUUUGAUUUGAAAGGCGCUUUCGGGUGUCGCUGAUGGAUGGACCCGCGGUGCAUUAGCUAGUUGGUGAGGUAACGGCUCACCAAGGCCACGAUGCAUAGCCGACCUGAGAGGGUGAUCGGCCACAUUGGGACUGAGACACGGCCCAAACUCCUACGGGAGGCAGCAGUAGGGAAUCUUCGGCAAUGGACGAAAGUCUGACCGAGCAACGCCGCGUGAGUGAAGAAGGUUUUCGGAUCGUAAAACUCUGUUGUUAGAGAAGAACAAGGAUGAGAGUAACUGUUCAUCCCUUGACGGUAUCUAACCAGAAAGCCACGGCUAACUACGUGCCAGCAGCCGCGGUAAUACGUAGGUGGCAAGCGUUGUCCGGAUUUAUUGGGCGUAAAGCGAGCGCAGGCGGUUUCUUAAGUCUGAUGUGAAAGCCCCCGGCUCAACCGGGGAGGGUCAUUGGAAACUGGGAGACUUGAGUGCAGAAGAGGAGAGUGGAAUUUCCAUGUGUAGCGGUGAAAUGCGUAGAUAUAUGGAGGAACACCAGUGGCGAAGGCGGCUCUCUGGUCUGUAACUGACGCUGAGGCUCGAAAGCGUGGGGAGCAAACAGGAUUAGAUACCCUGGUAGUCCACGCCGUAAACGAUGAGUGCUAAGUGUUGGAGGGUUUCCGCCCUUCAGUGCUGCAGCUAACGCAUUAAGCACUCCGCCUGGGGAGUACGACCGCAAGGUUGAAACUCAAAGGAAUUGACGGGGGCCCGCACAAGCGGUGGAGCAUGUGGUUUAAUUCGAAGCAACGCGAAGAACCUUACCAGGUCUUGACAUCCUUUGACCACUCUAGAGAUAGAGCUUCCCCUUCGGGGGCAAAGUGACAGGUGGUGCAUGGUUGUCGUCAGCUCGUGUCGUGAGAUGUUGGGUUAAGUCCCGCAACGAGCGCAACCCUUAUUGUUAGUUGCCAUCAUUCAGUUGGGCACUCUAGCAAGACUGCCGGUGACAAACCGGAGGAAGGUGGGGAUGACGUCAAAUCAUCAUGCCCCUUAUGACCUGGGCUACACACGUGCUACAAUGGGAAGUACAACGAGUCGCGAAGUCGCGAGGCUAAGCUAAUCUCUUAAAGCUUCUCUCAGUUCGGAUUGUAGGCUGCAACUCGCCUACAUGAAGCCGGAAUCGCUAGUAAUCGCGGAUCAGCACGCCGCGGUGAAUACGUUCCCGGGCCUUGUACACACCGCCCGUCACACCACGAGAGUUUGUAACACCCGAAGUCGGUGAGGUAACCUUUUGGAGCCAGCCGCCUAAGGUGGGAUAGAUGA